rnacentral:rRNA from 1 species
UACGUAGGAGGCAAGCGUUGUCCGGAAUUACUGGGCGUAAAGCGCGUGUAGGUGGUGGGACAAGUCUGCUGUGAAAGCGCCUGGCUUAACCGGGCGAGGUCGGCGGAAACUGUUCGACUAGAGGACGGUAGAGGGGGGUGGAAUUCCCGGUGUAGUGGUGAAAUGCGUAGAGAUCGGGAGGAACACCUGUGGCGAAGGCGGCCCCCUGGGCCGGCCCUGACACUGAGACGCGAAGGCGUGGGGAGCGAACGGG